rnacentral:rRNA from 1 species
AAUGGAUGAGAAUCUGAACCAGCCAAGUAGCGUGAAGGAUGACUGCCCUAUGGGUUGUAAACUUCUUUUAUAAGGGAAUAAAGUUGGCUAUGUAUAGUCAUUUGUAUGUACCUUAAGAAAAAGCAUCGGCUAACUCCGUGCCAGCAGCCGCGGUAAUACGGAGGAUGCGAGCGUUAUCCGGAUUUAUUGGGUUUAAAGGGAGCGUAGGCGGAUAAUUAAGUCAGUUGUGAAAGUUCAAGGCUCAACCUUGAAAUUGCAGUUGAAACUGGUUAUCUUGAGUGCAGUAAAUGUGUGCGGAAUUCGUGGUGUAGCGGUGAAAUGCUUAGAUAUCACGAAGAACUCCAAUUGCGAAGGCAGCUCACAGGAGUGUAACUGACGCUGAUGCUCGAAAGUGUGGGAAUCAAA